GACGAACGCUGGCGGCGUGCUUAACACAUGCAAGUCGAACGGAAGGGCCCUGCUUUUGUGGGGUGCUCGAGUGGCGAACGGGUGAGUAACACGUGAGUAACCUGCCCUUGACUUUGGGAUAACUUCAGGAAACUGGGGCUAAUACCGGAUAGGAGCUCCUGCUGCAUGGUGGGGGUUGGAAAGUUUCGGCGGUUGGGGAUGGACUCGCGGCUUAUCAGCUUGUUGGUGGGGUAGUGGCUUACCAAGGCUUUGACGGGUAGCCGGCCUGAGAGGGUGACCGGCCACAUUGGGACUGAGAUACGGCCCAGACUCCUACGGGAGGCAGCAGCGGGGAAUAUUGCACAAUGGGCGGAAGCCUGAUGCAGCAACGCCGCGUGCGGGAUGACGGCCUUCGGGUUGUAAACCGCUUUCGCCUGUGACGAAGCGUGAGUGACGGUAAUGGGUAAAGAAGCACCGGCUAACUACGUG
rnacentral:rRNA from 1 species